rnacentral:rRNA from 1 species
GACGAACGCUGGCGGCGUGCCUAACACAUGCAAGUCGUACGGAGUUCACUUGGAAGCUUGCUUCCGAGUGAACUUAGUGGCGGACGGGUGAGUAACGCGUGAGCAACCUGCCUCACAGAGGGGGAUAACACACGGAAACGUGUGCUAAUACCGCAUAAUCCGAUGAAGCGGCAUCGCUUUAUCGGCAAAGGAGCAAUCCGCUGUGAGAUGGGCUCGCGUCCGAUUAGAUAGUUGGUGAGGUAACGGCUCACCAAGUCUACGAUCGGUAGCCGGACUGAGAGGUUGGACGGCCACAUUGGGACUGAGACACGGCCCAAACUCCUACGGGAGGCAGCAGUGAGGGAUAUUGCACAAUGGGCGAAAGCCUGAUGCAGCGACGCCGCGUGAGGGAUGACGGUCUUCGGAUUGUAAACCUCUGUCCUUGGUGAAGAAGAAAGUGACGGUAGCCGAAGGAGGAAGCCACGGCUAACUACGUGCCAGCAGACCC